CACGUAGGGCGCAAGCGUUGUCCGGAAUUAUUGGGCGUAAAGAGCUCGUAGGCGGUCUGUUGCGUCCGCUGUGAAAACUCGGGGCUUAACCCCGAGCCUGCAGUGGAUACGGGCAGACUAGAGGUAGGUAGGGGAGAAUGGAAUUCCGGUGUAGCGGUGAAAUGCGCAGAUAUCGGGAGGAACACCGGUGGCGAAGGCGGUCUCUGGGCCUUACCUGACGCUG
rnacentral:rRNA from 1 species